rnacentral:piRNA from 1 species
UAGAAAACAGGUUUCCAGAACAGUGUGUGU